rnacentral:sRNA from 1 species
UUGAAUCAAUUAUGAAAAUGCCAUUUUUCGGGAUGGCAUUUGUGUAUAUUGCCUUUUUUAGAAUAAUUUGUGGAUUUUGUCAUUUUUUAGGUUACAGAAAUAUGAUUUAACAUGCGUUUUAUUCAUUAUGUUUGGAUUUAGUCGGUUGUAGUUAUUCUUACGGUUUAGUAUUUUGUGUAAACUACGUAUUUUUACCAAAAAAAAAUCCGAAAUUCAUACAUUUUUAAGUCUUAGAAAAUGGCAUAUCCGUAAGAUUUUAGUAAAAAUGACAAUUUCAAAAGAUCUCUAUGAAAAAUGGCAAAAUUAACAAUAAUCCCUUAAUUAUUUACAAAACAUCUCAUGUGAUUAUUUAGUGUACU